rnacentral:rRNA from 1 species
CUACGGGCCGCUGCAGUGAGGAAUAUUGCACAAUGGGGGGAACCCUGAUGCAGCAACGCCGCGUGGAGGAUGACGCAUUUCGGUGUGUAAACUCCUUUUAUAUGUCAAGAAAAUGACGGUAGCAUAUGAAUAAGCACCCGCUAACUCCGUGCCAGCAGCCGCGGUAAUACGGAGGGUGCAAGCGUUAAUCGGAAUCACUGGGCGUAAAGGACGCGUAGGCGGGUUGGAAAGUCAGGUGUGAAAUCCUACAGCUUAACUGUAGAACUGCACUUGAAACUUCUAAUCUAGAGUAUGGGAGGGGGAGAUGGAAUUAGUGGUGUAGGGGUAAAAUCCGUAGAUAUCACUAGGAAUACCUAAAGCGAAGGCGAUCUCCUGGAACAUUACUGACGCUAAGGCGUGAAAGCGUGGGGAGCAAACAGGAUUAGAUACCCCGGUAGUC